rnacentral:rRNA from 1 species
GAUGAACGCUGGCGGCGUGCUUAACACAUGCAAGUCGAACGGAAAGGCCCAAGCUUGCUUGGGUGCUCGAGUGGCGAACGGGUGAGUAACACGUGGGUGACCUGCCCUGCACUUCGGGAUAACCCUUGGAAACUGGGUCUAAUACCGGAUAGGACCACAUUUUGGAUGGUAUGGUGGAGAGAUUUUCGGUGUGGGAUGGGCUCGCGGCCUAUCCGCUUGUUGGUGGGGUAAUGGCCUACCAAGGCGUCGACGGGUAGCCGGCCUGGGAGGGUGUACGGCCACAGUGGGACUGAGAUACGGCCCAGACUCCUACGGGAGGCAGCAGUGGGGAAUAUUGCACAAUGGGCGCAAGCCUGAUGCAGCGACGCCGCGUGGGGGAUGACGGCCUUCGGGUUGUAAACUCCUUUCGCUAGGGACGAAGCGCAAGUGACGGUACCUGGAGAAGAAGCACCGGCUAACUACGUG